GAUGAAGAACGCAGCGAAAUGCGAUAAGUAAUGUGAAUUGCAGAAUUCAGUGAAUCAUCGAAUCUUUGAACGCACAUUGCGCCCGCCAGUAUUCUGGCGGGCAUGCCUGUUCGAGAGUCAUUACAACCCUCAGGCCCCCGGGCCUGGCGUUGGGGAUCGGCGGAGCCCCCCGUGGGCACACGCCGUCCCCCAAAUGCAGUGGCGGUCCCGCCGCAGCUUCCAUCGCGUAGUAGCUAACACCUCGCGACUGGAGAGCGGCGCGGCCACGCCGUAAAACACCCAACUCUUCUGAAGUUGACCUCGAAUCAGGUAGGAAUACCCGCUGAACUUAAGCAUAUCAAUAAGCGGAGGA
rnacentral:misc_RNA from 1 species